GCCAUUAAAGCUCAGUGGCAGAGCCCUGGUCUCUUUAAGCAGAGUAGUGAGUUCUAUCCUUACUGGUGGCU